GAUGAACGCUGGCGGCGUGCCUAAUACAUGCAAGUCGAGCGAACAGAUGAGGAGCUUGCUCCUCUGACGUUAGCGGCGGACGGGUGAGUAACACGUGGAUAACCUACCUAUAAGACUGGGAUAACUUCGGGAAACCGGAGCUAAUACCGGAUAAUAUAUUGAACCGCAUGGUUCAAUAGUGAAAGACGGUUUUGCUGUCACUUAUAGAUGGAUCCGCGCCGGAUUAGCUAGUUGGUAAGGUAACGGCUUACCAAGGCAACGAUGCGUAGCCGACCUGAGAGGGUGAUCGGCCACACUGGAACUGAGACACGGUCCAGACUCCUACGGGAGGCAGCAGUAGGGAAUAUUGCGCAAUGGGCGAAAGCCUGACGGAGCAACGCCGCGUGAGUGAUGAAGGUCUUCGGAUCGUAAAACUCUGUUAUUAGGGAAGAAAAGAUGUGUAAGUAACUAUGCACGUCUUGACGGUACCUAAUCAGAAAGCCACGGCUAACUACGUG
rnacentral:rRNA from 1 species